CUGUCCGUAGCUCAACUGGAUAGAGCACCGGCCUUCUAAGCCGGGGGUUGCAGGUUCGAUUCCUGCCGGGCAGGCCA
rnacentral:tRNA from 1 species